CCGCGCCCGGCCUCUAUUCUUCUUCCCACACAUAUGACUAGGCAACCAUAGUUGACCCAAUAAUAAUGAUGAUGCUGAUAAGAACUGUAAUUUAUGAAGUUAUUCUUCUUAUGUGCCAGAGACUAAGGUAAGCAUUUUACAUACAUGAUUUCUCAUGCUCACAACAAUUUCAUGAGGUAGAUAGUUAUUCCCAUUUUUAUUUUACAAAAGAGAAAAAUGAGGCCCAGAGAGGUUUGAGUAUCUUACUUAAGAUCCUACUGCCAAUUAAGUAGAAGAGCAGGACUUGACUCCAGUGCCUGGACUCUGGACAGUAGACAGUAUACUAUCAAAGGAAUAGCCAUCAUAAUGAUAAGCAUGGAAAUGAUAAUGUAACUUCCUGUUUCUGAUACGGUUAAGAUCUGCCUUAUAUAUGGCAUUUAAAUGAAUCCCCACAGCACUCCUGAGUGGUGGCAGAAUGAGUCCAUUUUAAGUUGAGGAAAUGAGUGGAAAGGUUUGGUAGUCACCCAGUUUGCUAAUGACAAUGGUCUUAAUAAUAAGGCAAGGAAAGAUCACCAGUUACAGGGGGUGGUCUUUGCGUGAUGUUCGUGCUCUGAGACAGGGCUUCCUGCUAUGUUCAUCUGGAGGCAAAGACAACUUCGACCAGUACUCCUUAAACAAGAAGCCUAAAAAUCACCCAGGCUGCUUGUUAAAGGAAAAGAUACCUACCCCCUUCCACCCCCCCAAAAAAAACCAGACCUAGGAUUCUGAAGCUGUGAGUCUGCAUUUGAAAAAAGCAAUGAGGUUACUCUGAAUUAGUGGUCCUCCCCUUUGCUUUGCAUCCUUGGCUUUACAUUAGAGUCACCUGGGAAAUCCACAAACUAAGGCUGUCCUGGUCCCACCCUGGACCAAUGAAAUCAGAUUCUGGGAGUGGGCACAGGCAGUAGAAUGUUGAGAAAGCUCUCUGGGUGCAGACGAAUUGAAAAACAUGGCUUUAUGAAGCGCUGCAAAGGCUUUGCUCUCACAACACUUUACAGUGGGGGAUUACUGAGGCAAUAAUCUGGAUAAUUUCAAUCUAUGUUAACAGCCAAUCUGGAAAAAUCCAGGCCUUCUAUUACUUUCUGAGUGAGAUUUCCUUUUUGACAGAAACACUCAGCCAGUCCAGCUGCCCAUGCAGCCCAAACACAGCCAGGUAAUCCCCCCAAUGCCGCCUCAGCUCCAGCGGUGCGGGUAGCAUCAGGCAGCCUGACCCUUACUCGUUACUCUACCGGUUGCUCCUGCAGGGCCACCAGGCACUGAGCUGCGAUGCUCCCCACCUCCCCACGGCUCUCUCAACACAUUUCCUCUUUUGGUUACUGCUGUCAUCCUGGAAGCCUUCAUGCCUACCCUCUGACUCUGCCCCAGGCAUGGAGCCUGGUGAGCCUCAGAUGGAAGAGGUGCUGCUGGUCAAUGUCUGACCUCCAGGAAGAGGCCCAGUGCCCAGGGUUUAGGACUCUGAGAGGAGGAUUUGGAGCAGAGUUAACUCAUGAAGGGAAGCGGAUCCCACAGAAUCAUUGUCUACAGAAGUGCCAAGACCACCCCUGAGCACAAGGACUAGGAAAUCAAUUCUUUUCUGACUGAUCUAUCAACUUGCCUCUAUAACUAAUGAUGUUGGUGGCCUCAAGACAAUCUUCUUCCUGCAGAAACAGAGAAGAUGGAGAGGAAAGUGGGAUGCCAGAAAUGAACCCUGCAGGGCACAUGUAAAAGGGAAUUCUAGUUAAUGCUACCCCUUGGCUGAGCUCAAGGAUGGUCUAAAAGCUGUCAACAAAACAGAGACACCCAUGAGGAUCUUUUGGGCCCUGAGAGCAUUUGAAGUUGUGUGAAGAUUUGAGACCAUAAACAGCUGCAUUGAUUUCCGUUCCCUCUCCAAAUCCAAGGCAAAUAAAACCUCAGAGCUUCACGGGUGGAAAAAAACAAAAUACACAGGAAUUGUCUUUUAUUUUUUGGCUUAGAAAGAUAUUGUUUUAUAAACAGUGGGGCAAGACACUAUUAAAUUGUUUUCCAAAAAU
rnacentral:lncRNA from 1 species